rnacentral:sRNA from 1 species
AACGCCACCGGAUCUACACCUCGCGUCACAACCAGGUAGUCGCGAAUGACGAUGCCGUGCCGGUUCUC